rnacentral:tRNA from 1 species
GCGCUGUUAGCUUAGUUGGUAGAGCAGGGGACUUUUAAUCCCAAGGUCGAGAGUUCGAGUCUCUCACAGCGCACCA